UGGUGAGUAGUUCUCAUAUGUCAUGGCAGGCAUUUCAAGUGGUUUCCACCUGGCAUAACAGCAUUCAUCUCUCCUCCUCCCCUCAUGGCUCAUGACUUUGUCACAUUGCCUGGUCAAUGGGAGGUGUACACUGGCAGAGUACUGGCAGAGACCAUAUUGCUGUGAGUCUUGGAGGACCUGCUCUCUGCCUUUUCUGCCUGGCCUGGGAGGCUGGGACCCUGGCUGACUCUGGCUACAUAAAACUGAGGUGUUUUGGGGGUUGGGUUAUUGGUGGUAUGAGGUUGCUCAAAUGCUUGCAUGAGACACAGCAGCAGUGGUGGCCUUCCAGAUUACUUCCACGCUUGUGGCACAGUAUAAGUGGGAACAUUUUGUGAGGAACAAUUGGGAAAGGAUAGAUUUGUGUUUCUGACUCCCUGUUGUUUUGUAGGGUAAGUAUUAUGGGCUGCUGCCAUAUCUGUUUCCUCUUCCUGCCUUGGGGUUUUUACCCCCUUUUUCAUUUCUGUAAGCCCAGGUACAUUAGUGCUUCAGCAAUUUUAUAGUAUUGUGGACUUCCCAGGAAAAAAAGGCCAAAAGCCACUGCAUUUUUUCUUAAUGGCAUCUUAAAAUGUUACACAGAAGAAAGCUGGAUUAGGAAAACACCUUCACCCUAAGCAAUCGUUGUCUAAUCUGCUUCACCAUACAUGUUGCAUCUCGAGUCUUCUUUAUGGUUGUGAUGGCAACUAAGCUUUCCCAGCUCCUAUACCUGUGGAUGAAGCUUCAACAUUGGGGGUAGACCCAGCAGUGUGGCUCUGCUGUCUGUCACAAUGUGGUUCCCUCAAGUAACAAAUGAAGGGGCCUCUAAUUAAAAUAUGAUGCUACCUUAUAUGGCAGAUCAUAGGAUCUAAGCUCUUCAUGGGCUCUGACAAAGGACCUUUCAGACUCUAAUACCUGAGAUUCAUUGAAGUGGAGGUGCUAAGGACUUAACCUGGGCUUUCUGUAUUCAAAGCAUGUGCUCUGUGCCCUCCUGGAUCAAAUUUGCAAUCUGAUUUGCUGUGAACUUGCAUACUGAUGAGUUUCACACAUUUAAAGCUAAUGCAAGUUACAAUAACAAUGUAUGAAAUAUUGGCCUUUGAAAUAAUUCACGGGGAAAUUUCCGUUAGCAAAAAUUCAGCCACGGCUCUUCUGCCAGUUUAAUUAUUUGAGACCCCUUUAAAGCAAAACUUGCAUAUACUGUAUUUGAAAAGUUUAACUUUUUCUUAGGAAAUCAUCCUAGUGAAAGUAUGUUGUGUGUAACAAACAAGAUGUCUUAAGUCCAUUUAUGAGCAAAGAACGGAGACUAGCUGUCAAGAUGUCCCCCCCUCCUUUUUUGUAUGUGUGCUAUAACUGCUACUUUGACAGCUCUGUGGAGGUGUAAAGGAUUGAAAAAUGUAAAGGAUAAUAAGGCACAUUUGCUGUGGAACUGUUCAAAUAAUCAUAUCUAGGAGAGGCAGGGUAAGUAGAAUCUUGGUGGGAAAAAUAAUAUGUUUUUAUAAAUGUGAUCUUACCCAUUAUUUCUGUUAUCUCAGAGGAAAAGCAAAGUGCAAUGAAAUAAUGGCAACUUUUGGAAGUAUAUAUGCUACUUUGUGUGCACCUCUCUUAAAUGAUUGUGACCCAAAUGUGAAAAGGAGUGUUGUGUACACAGUUUCUUGGGCUGGAGAUCUGCUUCUAGCAUUCGGGGUUCCAUGCUCAGUAAUCUGAAUAUUAUGUGCGCAACACUGACCAAAUAACCAGAACGGUCACCUCUUUGGAAUCAGCACUGUUUAACUGGACAGUAUCAGCAAGUGUCCAUUAUGACUAUGACAGCUGUUAUCAUAUAGAUAUAUUUUCUGUGUGAAAUCCACUGCUAGCUACUGUCAAGCACAUAGACUAGAAUCUCUCUUGACACAUCAUAGUAGGCUGAUAACCCAUAACAAUGGCGCUGGGCUUCACAAGUAGCAGAACUAGGUGAGAAUGGGGUGGUAGAAUGGGCUAUAUCACAACAGUGCAGGUAGAGGAUCCUACUUGGGAUGCUUUGCUACAUUUUUUUUUAACUUACCAAUAAUUGAAAGCUGAACAUAGCUGAUCUAGAAUCAUUGUGCCUGUCAAUUUGUGUGUGUUGAUACUUUUUAAGCUAUUGCUGUUGCUAAGUUGCAAGGUUAUGCUUUCAAGUAUGGUUGAGCACCAAAAAUGGCACCCCCAUUUGCAGUCUAAAAUGGUAUAGUCUGCUCAACUACCUCAGAAUUCCAUUUCCACAUUCUUCUGUUGCAUCUGUAGCCAUGGAAGCUGUUUGCAGAAGACUCCAUAGUUGAGUGUAACAUGAAGUGCAGCCAUACAUCAGGCUAAACCAAAGCUUUAAUAGGUGGUGGGGAUGGCUGAAGAGAGAAUGCCCUCAAUUACCUACCUACCUGCCUGCCUGCAUGCCUACCUGCCUGCCUGCCAGAAGAAGAAGAAUGUAUGCUCAGUCACAUCACAGCAUAUAAACCAACAAGUGGACCUCUCUCAAAAGUGAAAAAAUGUCCUUAAGACAAAGCUGAGAGGGGAUAUUUCAGGGCCUGUAGACACUGUUUUCUCAAUGAUGGUUUCAUUGUUUAUGAGUCAAAUACUGCAAAGCCAUAACUCCAAGACAAAUGAUACUAUUAUAGUUAUGCGUCAUGCUGUGAACAGUGUGGUGGAUAUUUCUACACAAUUCAUUUCAGGAAAAUGAAUCAGAACAGCUAGACUAAAUAUGUUUUUCUUUCCUUGUUAUAAUAAUGAGUUCUUAUUACGGUAGAAACCUUCAUUUAUCAAUGCAGAAAGAAAAGAAUUCAUGAAGGAGAAUUUCAUAAUUAUUAUUAUUUGUCUUUCAUAAAUAAUAAUGAGCUUAUCUUUGCAGCCAUGAUAGUUCAAACUUAUCUUUUCCCAUAAAUCCUGCUCCGGGUAACCAAAUUUUUAGAGAACUUUCCAUUUUAUUCAUCACCCCAGUAUUAUUGUUUGAAUAAAUGUCAGUAUGUGAUUUGAAAUACAAUUAUGCUAUAUCCAUGCUAAACAGUGGCAUUAAUGAAAUUGCUCUAGCACAUAUUUAAAUUGCAGUGGUGUCUUUAAAAAAACCCCGUACCUGGCAGACCCUUUAUACACAGAAAUUGAUUUUCAAAUCAGAUGCAUUAUAGUUUUUUUCUGGAAAAGAUGUUGCCUGGUUCACGACGGAUCAACGACCCUUUUCAUGUAAAUUCUGUUAAAAUUUUGUUUCUAUUCUCCCUAUAUUUUCAUUUACUGAACCUGAACAAUUAUAUCAUGACAUGUUAACCCAACAUAUAAACUCACCUACUACCUGUGUGUGCAGCAUCCUCCGUCCUCCCUUCACUUGAGCUAGCAAAUAAACCAGGAAGUCUUCAAUUAAUUAAGGUUUCCCAUUUCAUCCAAACCACCUAUUUUUUUUUAAAGAACCCAGAUAUUAAAACAACUUUGAACUCUAGUUUAAGACUCUGGCUUGCUUUAAAGUUCUGCUAAUUGUAGUUUCUCAUUUGGAUGAAACAGGAAUCUUUAACUGAUUGAAUACUUGCUGGCUUAUAUGAACAGAAGUGCAAAAGGGAUGCCUACAUAUUAAGCCAUGAUACGAUUCCAAACUGUCCUACUGUCAGCUAACUCCCAUAUUUUCUUGUCUCAGAGGUCCUUUAUUGGAUUUCCCCCUCAUUUAAUUAUUUAGUAUAUAAACACACAUAAAAAUCCAAUUUGUUAAGGUUUCAGUUAUCUCAUGUAAAUGCUUUACAUUCACUGGACUGCUAAUUGAUUUGUGGAUUUACAUCUGUGAAGUCUACUGAUUUCAUUAGGGAUGGGGAUUGAUCGUUAUAUUGCAUGAAAAAAGUAUACUGCCUUACAUCCCUUGGGUUCUUAUAGAGCUGAAAGUAAAUUUAGUAUUCAGAUGAAAAGUCUCAAAUUUGAACUUGCACUUUAAUGUGGACAUGUUAUCCCAACAUUUGAAAUUCACAAAGUUUAGAUGGUGGUUUUCUUGAUUUUCUCAGGCUUUAAAUAUAAGGUCUCAUAUUUACUGCCAAAAAGGAUACAACCAUUCACAUGCAACUAAGAUAAUUACAUGUCAGCAACCACAUAUUAAAUAGUAUUUUGAUGCUAACCAUCAAAUACUGUCAAAAUCCAUACACUAGUGAUUUUCAAAUUAACUUCUGGUGAGCCCUAGGUUCUGUGGAAUAUUGCCAGAGAUUUGGUAAACCAGAAGAUCAGUAAUGGUGGAGAAACUUCCCUAAAAGACCACAACUCAUCUGCAAUGUGUAGCCAUAGGGGCACAUUUGCAGUACAAAUUGGAGAUCGGAAGGCUUAACAGUAUCCCAUGUGAACAGAGUGUACAUCCAAGAUAAUCUCUCAGAAUCCUCUACAACAUGCAAGGGUUCUGUGGCAGACAUACUUUCAUUGGCAAUCCAGUCAGUGCAGCAAUGUUCUCUGAAGAGAAAAACUCUGAAUACCUCUAAGAUCUGUUGAUGUGUAUCAGCUAUUGGUACUGGUAAACACCAUCACUUAUCAAGUAUUAUAUGCUGCUAGAUAUCAACUGUCAGAUAUCAAGAACUGAAACCAAAUUUCAUUGGUUGUUAAAUACGGAUGCAAAAUACCUUAUUCAAAGAUUCAGAGAAUAUCUUGCAAAUGUCUGGCAUAAAAAUCCUCUCAGGACAAUUUAAAGGAGAAUUCUAGAGCAAAUUAAUUCCAUCUCCCAUUUCUUUGUGCACCAACCCACAUAUCAGGGGAAGCUGCAGAAGCAGCUCAGAUGCCGGGGAGAUAGUUAACAGCCCUGUAUCCUCCCACUUGUGUGUCAUUUAAGAAAUAGGCCUCAUAAAAUUAAAGAUACAGUGGAAGCAGAGGUGGCAAUGCAGGGCAAUUCUCAAUAAUUAGGAAUGAAGCAAGAAGUGGAAUUGAUAUUCCACUUAAUAAGGACAAAUCCUGUUGCACAAGCAGCCUUCCUUUCACAUAUGGUUUGGAUACAAACCUUUAUGUUUACUGUACAUGAGGACAGGACCCCUCCUCUUCUUUCCUUUUUUUAAAAAAAUUUAAAAAUGGUGUUAUCCAACUAGACUGGGUGGGAUAGGACAAGUUGGCCAUAUGCUUUGCAUGCAAGUUUUUAGGCUCAAUCCCUGGCUGCUUUUAUCUGAGACUCUGACGAGCUACUGCUAGUGUCAGUGCAUAUACUGAGCUAGAUGGACCAAGAGCCUGAUUCAAUAGAAGGUAGCUCACCACGUUCCUCUCUGUGAUCCAUCUACUGUGGGGGCAAGCACAACUGAAGACAUUAGGACUUCUUCUUCUUUUUUAAAAAAUGAUAUUUAUUACUUUUUCAAAAUUUCCAACACAGCACUACAAACACAGAG